AUGCACGCUGGCGGCGUGCCUAAUACAUGCAAGUCGAGCGAACGGACGAGAAGCUUGCUUCUCUGAUGUUAGCGGCGGACGGGUGAGUAACACGUGGAUAACCUACCUAUAAGACUGGGAUAACUUCGGGAAACCGGAGCUAAUACCGGAUGAUAUUUUGAACCGCAUGGUUCAAAAGUGAAAGACGGUCUUGCUGUCACUUAUAGAUGGAUCCGCGCUGCAUUAGCUAGUUGGUAAGGUAACGGCUUACCAAGGCAACGAUGCAUAGCCGACCUGAGAGGGUGAUCGGCCACACUGGAACUGAGACACGGUCCAGACUCCUACGGGAGGCAGCAGUAGGGAAUCUUCCGCAAUGGGCGAAAGCCUGACGGAGCAACGCCGCGUGAGUGAUGAAGGUCUUCGGAUCUUAAAACUCUGUUAUUAGGGAAGAACAUAUGUGUAAGUAACUGUGCACAUCUUGACGGUACCUAAUCAGAAAGCCACGGCUAACUACGUG
rnacentral:rRNA from 1 species